UUGUCCCCAGUCCCUCUCCAGCUCUCCUGGAGCCCCUUCAGGCCCUGCAAGGGGCUCUGAGCUCUCCCUGGAACCUUCUCCAGGUGACCACCCCUAGCUCUCCCAGCCUGGAGCAAAGGGCUUCCAGCCCUCGGAGCAUCUUUGUGCCUGUUUUGACCCUGUUCCAACAGGUCUUUAUUGUGGAGAGAGAAGUGCAGAGGCUGGGAUACUUCCAGAGAGGCUCGAGAGGAGAAGGAAAAGGAGGAGGAAGACGAGGAGGAUGUAGGACUGAUCUGGGUUGCAGCCUUGCAGCCACAUCGUGUAAUCCUCUUCAUGGAUUAAUCAGCUGAAGGGUUGGGAUGCUGCUUUUCACUCUGCUGACUUGCUGCUCCUGACAAGCCAUCGGAUGACAGCACAGCAAAAAGGACAUUUCAUUUUCCAGUGGCAGAUGGUUCAUUAAGGCUUGGCCUCCUGGAAGAUCUCUCAGAUCCAAGGGGCUGCAAAAGCUGCUGUAUUUAGUCACUGCAGGGUUAAGUUUCACUUCCCACCUGGAGGUGCAGUUUCUCAUCCCAUCUUGCCAGUGGUGGAGAGUGAGCUCUCAGAGCCCAUCUGGCGUUCUGAGCUUUAAUCCACCUCUCCCAGCUGGGUCUCAGUCCCUGCUGGAAGCACAUCUGUCCAUAGAUAAAGGCAGCACUGGGACUGUAUUACUGUUACCAUUUCAUGACUAGGAAAAUGGAGAAAAAUGAGGAAACUGCCUGAAAUUGUGCCAGGAGAGGUUGAGGUUGGAUAUUAGGGAAAAUUUCUUCAGGGAAAGGGUGGUCAGGCAUUGUUUGCCCAGAGCAGUGAUGGAGCCACCAUGCCUGGAGGGUUUUAAGAGCGGUGUGGAUGUGGCAUUUUGGGAACAUGAGUCAGCAAUGACCAUGGCAGUGCUGGGUUAAGGGUUGGGCUCAAUGGUCUCAGAGGGCUUUCCCAACCUUUAUGAUUUGUUAAUGAUCCUAAUGAGUUGUGCAGAGUUGUCAGUGCAGGACAUGAUCCCUGUGCCUUGCCAGGCCCAUACUCCUGAGCACACGCUGCGUUUUCCACCCCAGACCACACUGGGUCUGGUCAAGCGUGUUGAGGAAUGUGCUUUUAUGCAGCAUCUUCCAUCUGAACGGGUCCCAGCCUUAAAAGGAAUGUUAAGUGGUUUUACAUAAGGCAUUACGUGGGUUUGGAGAAUGUGGUCUGUUUGUGCUGUGGUCUGAGGAGGAAGAACAGCCAUGGUUAUUUUAACGAGACACUGAGGUUCACCAGGUAACGGUGGAUGCAGAGCUGUAGAAAUUUCUAACUGAACGAGAUAAUAAAGGUGGUUUUAAAAACAGUGAAAAUACUUCAGCCCUAGUUUUUUACCUGACUGCUAAAAUAUCUUUAAUUUUAUACAGUCUAACAAACUCACGUGGAAGGCAUUCACAGCUGCUACAGCACCUUCCCUAUGAGUUGAAAUUUAUUUUUAUUUUUUUUAAAGUUUGUGGUUUGUGUUCAGGCUGGUUUUCCUCCCCAGUGGAACACACACUUGCUUCACCCACGGCCACAAGUGAAGGGCCUGCAGUGGAGCCAUUCCCAGGCUUUCUGUGGGCAGCUUUCCACCCCUGAGCCCAGUUCAGGAUGCUGAACCUCCUAAGGCUUCUUGGUUUCAUGCUGCUUCACCUGCUCUGUUAUCAGAAUCCAGAAUAAGAGGGAUAGUGAAGAUUUUGUGGGAUCCUGAAUGGUUUCUUGCUGCUGGAGUGGCCCUUUGGGGGACAGUUGGCAUGGUAGCAGAUGUGGGCACGUGAUGCCAAGUACAAAAAAUGCUUGGAAAAAAAAAGAACAGAAAGAGAGAGAAUCCUGGCAAGAUGGAUGGAGAGAACACAGCUGAGAGCAAGAGGAGGAGAUAUCCAGGCCUGUUGGAUGUUUCUUAUGUCCAACUUGGGAAUUCACUUGCUCAAGGAAGCAUCAGUCUGCCAUAGACUGAGGAUCUCUCCAGGGGUUGUGCUGAGACGCUCUGGGGAGGGAGAACAGACACUAAAGGGAGAGGAAAGCCUUUUGUCUCUUGCAGGAGCAGGAGAAUUGAACAAGACACAGCUCAGCCCUGUGUGCAAGGAUUUGUUUUUCACGGAAGGAAGAGGGGCACUGUGGCUAUACAUUAUAUUUGUGUCACCCCAUUUACGUAGAUGCAUCUCAGGAGACUUUGCAGCUGAUUGUGCUCUUUGCAUUCAAAGGAAGGAAACCAGCUGGAUGCCCUUCCCUCCCACCAGCACGAACAGGAGGGCAGAGGUGAGACCAGACAGCAACUGCUCAGCACAAGGAUGCAGGAAAAUGUGGCCAUUUCCAUGAAAAACAGAAUGAAAAAGGGAAAUUCAGAGCACUGCCUGGAAACCCGGCUGCUUCCCCCAUUUCCAGGUGCACAAACCUGGCUGGAACAUUUUGCAAGUAUCCUGCUGAAUCAUCCAGACAGGUGGAUUUGGUUGGUUCUGCCAAGAGGAGCUGGAAGCCUUUUCCUGGCUGAGGUGUAUCUUCAGGGGGAAAUCCUAGAAACAAACUUGGCACACACAGAUUUUGGCUUGGGCUCUCUAAAGCCACGUUGCAAACAAAAAAAGGGGGUUGGUGAGGAAGGAUGUUUUCAAUAGUGUCCAUCUGUCAGUGCAGGAGAGAGGGGACAAAUUAAAAACUGCAUUGGAAAGAGAUGGGAAGUUUGGCUUAGGAGAGAUCCUCUGCCUUGCUGACCUCUAAACUGUAGAAUCAUGGAAUUACCCUGAG